UACACACCGACACCAGAAAUCUUGCAAAUUGCCAAAAAGGAAACCUACAUGUAUACCUUUCAUAUCUUCAUAACAAAAAAGGAGAUAUGGGUGCAAUGAUCAUGGUGCUCAGCUGUGACGUAUCUGCAAUAUUGUCUGCUGUCCCAUCUACAAUCUCUAAGAAAUUUACAGAAGUAACUAUUGCAAAAUGUACCGCCAGGAAAGCUAUAUGUGUUGUAUCACUUAAAUUUGUACAAAUGAUAACACAAUCUUCAGAUUGAUAAAAUCACAUCACCGUUGGAUAAAGAAUACUGCUAUCUGAGAGCGUGGAAAGUACGAGAAAUAGGCGAAAUUACUGUAUUAAAGGAGAGAAGUUGGAAAAAAAUACGAGCAUGGUUGUGAGAGACAUAUCUGGAGAUAAGUUAUUUAUUGUAGAGAAGCCUGCCGCCUUUCGUCAUCUCGUCGAAGAGCCCGUUGAUGGCUUCGUACCUCCUUGCUUCCUCACAAGCUCAAUCCGCAGAGCCCAGGUCUUGUUAAUCUCGAUGCCGGGACAAAACAAAAAUCCAAGCACUUAUUAUGAAUAUCAAAAUAAUGAGCGAUGUAGGCAUAUAUAAGCACUAUAUUCAUAUAAAAAAUCUAAGCACUUAUUAUGUUGCUAUUUGUGACGCCUUUCUUAUUUUAGCAAGAAAAUAAUGGUCCCCUCAUAUUAUUAAGUUGUAACUUUCGCAACCAUUAAAAACAUAGAUAAUUAAAGAUAUCAACUAAUUUGCUGUUAACAUGAAAUAAACAAUGCUCCAAAUCAAUGUGUACCUGUCUUAUACCUCGUCAACAAAUUGAACUCGUUGACAUGUCCCCAUUUUUAUCUCCGUUGUUGCAGUUGUUUGGUCCAAUGUCUCCAUGUAUCGCACUUACUAAUCAAAAGAGAAAGUUUGUCCGUCUUCAUAGUUCAUACCGAGUAUCAAUCAAAAGAUAAAGCAUGCACUGGAGUACUCAACAUCGUUAUUCCUGAGGGCACAUAUAUCUGCAUACCCAGAUUUCUAGCUAGUUAUCUAAGAUAGUAAAGUGACACUUGUACAAGGUAACAAAAAUCAAGCACACAAGGAGACUCAAAAGAAAGCUCUGGCCGACCAGUGGUCCGUACAUUUUGUGGUCUCAUGCCGGUUAGUAUUUUACUGUCUAGAUCCUUGAUUCUCUUGUCAUCCUGUUUUGGAAUAGCUUUAUGUUAAGAUUUCUUCUAUUCAUAGUUUGGUACGUAGUUGCGUACCCAAUUUUUUAUAGAAAAACCAAGCUAUUAUUUCAACCAUAUAACUAAGGGGAACACACCUAUGAAAUUCAUUGAUAACAGGAACAACAAAGAUUUUAAAAAAUGUCAUCAAAGAAAUAAAAAAGUGCAGCUAGGUAAUUCAAGCAUGGUAAAAAUACAAAUGCUUUAUUAAUAUAAUAUUUUCUAAUAAAUUCACAAAGGCAUCAUGAUUCUAAACAACAAUAUAUCUCCCGUUUCUGCUUUCAUUGAUCAUUGCCAAGUGACAGCAGCACAAACGUUGAAGCGACUUUCAGCCUCCAAUCAAACAUGAACAUGGGUUGAGAUUCUUUCUGAAUCAAUAUGAUUGUUCAUAUCAGUACAAAAUAAUCUUGCAUUCAGUAGAAGCGUGUAUGUUAAUGGUAAAAGAACUACAAGAUGAAUUAGCGGAUAUGGAUGAAUAAAGUACCUGGAGCCGAGGUUGACCGUGACAUGGUGUGGGAAGAGCAUGAAUCUAGUGAAUCAUCCAUCAACUUGCAUUUAGACAUGACCGAAGCUAAAUGUAAUGAACCAGGAACGGUAAAUUUGACUAAUCUUGUCCGUACAAAUCCACAAAAAGAAACACUGCAAAAUAGAAGAAAUGAAAAUAUCAAGGGUGGAUAAAAUGGUAGGAUCACAUCAUAGAAAGGAAAAUCCAACAAUAGACAUCACU
rnacentral:lncRNA from 1 species